GGCUGCUGAAUUUGUCAUAUACAAGCUCAAAGAGAUGGGGAAGAUUAGCCAGGAAGAUGUUAGACUUGUAAUGGAGGAGUUUGAAGAUCUUGAUGUCGAUCAGUCAGGAACGUUGUCAACGUCAGAUAUAAUGCUUGCGCAACAACCUCAAAUCGAGAAGUAACUCUGGCACUAUGCUGGUGGCUUUGUAAGUUCGUGAUAUGUAUGAUUACUUAUUCUUGCUGUGGUAUGAAUUUCUUAACUAUGCCAUUUCACAAACACUCCCAUAUAUCUCUUCCUAUAAAGACUUGGUUAAAACGCUUGGAUUGCUUCUGUGUAUUUUGGAGAUCAUUGUUCAGUAUCGUCCUACCUCGAUGUCAGUCUCAUCCGUCAAAAAUACAGUUUGUGUAAUUAAAUUGCACGAUGACAGUCACUGACAAAAAGAAUUUUGGAAGAAAAUCACGGUUUAUGACUCCUAAAAUCUUUACUUAAAUGGAAUAUAGCGUACAAACAAAUUUUGGUCCUUCUUUAGAUUGACAAAUGGGACUGCUUGGUUCCUGAAUUCAAGAAUUUCGCCUGAUGUGGUUCAAUCUGUUUUGUGUUACGACAGAUUAAAGAUUUGGAGGUUGUGCAUACGCGACGAGGAUGCAGUGUGGUGAGAGCACUGAAGGUGUGAUGUACUGAGGCACUGUAUAAUGAUCAUAUUACACACUGCCUAAGAAAUCUACUUGUUAAAUAGUUUAUUAAAUAUAGAUUAUGAAAUCUACUGGUUAAAUUAUUGGGUACUUAACUGCUUAUACAAAUGGAUCUGCUUCUGCAUUGAUUUUUACUUAACAUGAAUUAAGACUCAAUUAUAACAGAGUUUAUCCACUGAACCGAAUGCAUAGGAAGCAGGGCCGGCCAUGAGGGUAUGCAAAAGGUAUCACCGUACACAGUGGCGGAUCUAGGAUUUUAACUUAGGGUGGUCCCAAUAUAAAAGCUCCAAAAAUAAAAACAAGACGAAAAUAUCAUUGAACAAAUAAAUGGCAAACUACAAUUUUCAUUCAUAAUCUUUGUGCUAAACAAGCUAGAAAUACUAAAUUUGUCCACGACGGGAUCUCAUACAUUGAAAACAUGUCAUGAUAGUUUCAUUGUCAAUACAAGAAAAAACAUAUUUCUCAAUGUAAACAACUAAGCUAUCAUUUAACCAUUGAUCCCUCAUUCUGUUGCGGAGUGGACUCUUUAUGAUAUUCAUGGUGGAAAAUGCUCUCUCCACUGAAGCAGUUGCAACAGGUAAAACCAAAGUCAAUUCAAUAAGUAACCAUUUUCUUAGCAAGAUCACUAAUGCUUUGCAACUGAGAAAAGUCACUUCUCGAACACAUAGAAUGAAUAUAAAUAUCAAGUUGAUCUUCAAGUGCCAAUAGGUCUUUCUUCGUAAAAUCUUGAGGGUACAAUUGAGUAAGGCGAAGUAGCUUUUCUUUGUCAAAAGCUGUAAAAGAAUCAUUUGAACUCAAACUAGUCAAACAAAUGAGCAAUUCAGUACUUGUUUCAUUGAAGCGAUCAUUUAACUCUGUAAGCUAGGAAUCAAAGACAACAAAAAAUAGCUCCACUUUGUAAUGAUGACAGUUGGUCUUUUUGUGGGUAUUACGGCGCAACCUCCCAUGAGCUACAUAUGUCUCAUCCAUGUUAAUAACCUCAAUAUGAUGUUGGACCGUCGCAAAAGGCCCUUUUUUUGUAGUGUAUAAUUACCCGUUCAAUAAGCAAGUGAAGAUUGUCAUUGCUAUAAUGACUCUUCAUAACUACAUACGGAGGUAUUCUGAACUUGAUCGUCAUUUUGAUGAAAGGGACUUUUGUGAAGAGAGCGAUAUUAGUCUAAAAUAUCCAUAAUAUCCCGAUAUUUCCAUAAAAAAUUCCGUGUUUUUGGACUACCGAUAUUUCCGAUAUCAUCGAUAUUUUAGACCUUGCUAAGUCACACAUGUAUCUUACCAUGCAAUGUAUAAAGUGUAAAAUAUUGUUCUAAUUCAAUAUAUAUAAAUGAUUAUGGUGUGUUUAAACUUCUUUCAUUAAUUACUACAUAUUUUCUACACUCACAAUGUUUGUCAGCUCGUUAUAUAAUCAACUUAAAUCAGUUAUAUCUAUCAUGCAAUGCAUUUCCUUCCAAUUUUUUGUGAUAAACUAAUGGAUAAUUGACUAAAUAAACAUCCUGCAAAGUUUCAAUAAAAAUUUCCAAGUUUUUCUUACAAUUUCCGUGGUUUAGGACUACCGAUAUUUCCGAUAUCAUCGAUAUUUUAGACCUUGCUAAGUCACUCAUGUAUCUUACCAUGCAAUGUAUAAAGUGUAAAAUAUUGUUCUAAUUCAAUAUAUAUAAAUGAUUAUGGUGUGUUUAAACUUCUUUCAUUAAUUACUACAUAUUUUCUACACUCACAAUGUUUGCCAGCUCGCUAUAUAAUCAACUUAAAUCAGUUAUAUCUAUCAUGCAAUGCAUUUCCUUCCAAUUUUUUGUGAUAAACUAAUGGAUAAUUGACUAAAUAAACAUCCUGCAAAGUUUCAAUAAAAAUUUCCAAGUUUUUCUUACAAUUUCCGUGGUUUUUAUUCAAUUUUUAUCUAUAUCGAUAAUAUCCCAAUAUUUCCAUCGAAAUUUCCUUGUUUUUAGACUACCAAUAUUUCCGAUAUCAUUGAUAUUUUAUACCUUGGUGAUGAUGAUGAUGAAGAAUACCAAAAUUAUCAAGUUGAAUGAUCACAUGAGAUAGAGACAUUAAGAAAUAGAAUAGCGGCAAGUUUGAUGAAUGCAUCUAAUUAGACUACCUUCAAGUACAUUAACAAUAUUGUACAAAUGAAUCCUAGCUAUUUAGUCUAAAAUAUUUCAAUUGAAGUAGUUUGUCAUACUAAUUAAUAUUUAAGAUAAAGUUUAUAAAUAUUUUUCUUUUAAAAAUAAAGUAUAUUUAGUAAUUCACCUUUAUUUGUUAAGAAAAUUAAAUCAAUAGCACAACUAGUAUUAUACCAUUUUGGUCAUUUCAUACUGUCACAUCUGUUUUACAUAAAAGUUUACCAAACACUAUCAUACUGUUUUUAUUUUUUUCCAAAAGCACUUUUACAAAAAAAUUUACCAAACACUCUGCUGCUUUAUUUUACAACCACUUAUUCUCACAGCACAGCAGAAACAACUUUUUUGCAAAGCACAGCAAUACUAAAAGGUUUUUUUAGCUAAAAUGGUCUAUGAGAUUUGCAUAACUCUUCAAUUUGGUCCCUGAGAUUUGAAAUCGAUAUAAUUGGUUCCUUAGUUUGUCCACCAUCAAUCAUUUUGGUCAUUCUGUGAAAAAUAUCUGUUAAAUUAGGAUAAAAUGACAAAGAUACCCUUAAUUUUUGUCAAAUCGUUUUGGCCUAUUUUUUUAUUAAAGUAAGGGCAUUUUUGUUAUUUUAAUCCUUAUUUAACAUAAUUUUUCACUAAAUGACUAAAAUGAUUGAUCAUGGACAAUGUCAGGGACUGCUUUUAUUGAUUUCAAAUAUCAUGGAUCAAAGUGAGGAGUUAUGCAAAUAUCAUAAAUCAUUUUGGCUAAAAAGCUUUACUAAAAUAUAACAAAAAAUAUUUUUAAAAAAAAUUAAUGCACUCUGUCCAAUUCAGUUUGGACCGGAUUUUAAAAAUGAAAACCAAGAACCAAAUCAGUUGAGAUUUGUACAGUCCAAUUUUCGUUUGGGUUUGACAGGUUUUGGCCAACAGUUUUUUUUUUUUUUUUUUUUUUUCUUUUUCCGGUUUUAUGGCACUCGAUUUGGUUUAGUUUUUCGUUCACUUGUUUCUCUGCCCACAACUUGUUUUUGUUGUCCAUAACUCCGAAAUUGUUUUUUUUUUCUCAAAUUCUUAUGUCUUAAACUUUUAGUCCGAGAUCAUUAAAUAAUGAUUUUAGCCUAAUUUUUUUCGGUAACUUUUUGAAAAUAAAAUUUAUGUAGAUUAUUUGAAGUUAUUUUAUGAACAUUUUAAUCCAAAAAAUUUAAAUUCCGAUAAGUAAUUAAAAAUCAUACAAAUACAUAAGUGUUUAUAAAGUUUUAAGUAAAAUUUGAUUUAAAUAAUUUUAGACCUUAAAUUUAAUUUUGGAUUUUCAAAUCUUUUUUUUACCAUUAGAUUUGAUCUCAUUUGAUCACAACUGUUAGAUUAUAAGUAAAAAAAAAUGUUUGAAAUAUAAUAAUUUAGCCAGACUUAAAUCCUGAGGAAAUCUAGCCCAAAUAUGUAUUUUCUCUAUGUGGCUUAUUUUAGCCCAAUGGUUAGAGAUGAUUUGGAAGGGGUUUUAAAGCUUAUAUUUUAAGAUUUAUCCUAUGGGUUGGAUAUGCCUAAGAAUGCUAAAGAAAUCUUAGAAAAUUAGAAAAAGUAAAAUGAGAAAGUUGGAAAGAAGUUUGUUUCCUCUCAACGAAAGAAGAGUCCCUUGGAAAACUAAUGAAAAGGGCUUGAAAACUUUGAGUUUUAAUGAUAAUGACAAAAUAAAGAGUAAAGUGAAUAGUAUCAGGAUUGAUUUUUUAGUGUAAAAAUAUGAUUUUUCGUUAAAGUGAACAAUACCGGGUGCUUUUCAUUAAAGUUCCCUUGUUUUUUUGUGUAGCAGGUCAACUUGAAUGAAACAAAUUUAUAAUCACGUCACGUUCUGCUUCGAUAAUGUCAUGCUAUGUGGAAAUUACAUACACUAAUGCCCUGCGACAAAAACACUGUUCAUAAGCACAGUGAAUUGGCGAAAUAUCCUUAAUUUACUGUACACUUCCCUUCUUAUUUUCCUCAUUUGCACAGUUAAAUGACGAAAAAGGCCUUGGCUCUUUACUUGCUUUUUUCAACUCUUUCAAGUUUCAACUAGAGCCAUUGAAGGGACUCUAACACUUCACCCAGCUCACCGCCUAGCUUUUCCACCGCUUCACCCUGAACACCGCCACCACUGAUUCCUCCAAAUCCAUGAUUUCGCAGAAUCGCACCACAUAACCAGUCAACAACGCAGAGCUCUCUUCGUCCACGGCAACUCAUCGGUCCACCUCAACGCCGCGUGCGCAACAACUAGCACAAUCCCAACCAGCAGCGGCACCCAAACAUUCACCGUCACCUGGGAAGAACAGCAGUAGAACCCAUUUUGCUAAAGGUAAGCAAUAUAUCCUAAUUUAGAAUUCAAAAGUUCCUUACAAAAGCAGUUUAUCUUCUCAAACACAAGGGAAAUUGGCAAGAUAUACGGUAUAAAAAAUUCGGAAAAAAUCUGAACAAGAAAUUUAGGUCCGAGUAUUAAGGAUUGUUUUUGGUUGUGAAAAAGUUUGAUUGAAAGAGUUCCGUCAAAAAGAGGUGAAACGCUGCUCAAUACCCGGUAUGCCUAUCUGAACGUGAUUUUGGGGGUUUUGUGAGAGACUAGGAAUUAUGCGAGCAUUUGGUUUUUAUUUAUGAGAUUUCUAAUUUUGCAUUACGCCUCAAGUUUUGUGCUUGGUUUUCAACGUCUGGUUCUAUAUCAAAAUUGAGUUUAUUAAAACAUGUAUUUUCUUAACUCAAAUUUUAUCAUAUUUCUUGUACAAAAAAUGUAAUUCCAAUCUGAAGUUCUCUGUGACAAUACAGAACAAAUGGGAAAUUUUUUGAUGAGCCCAAGAACAAACAAGUAACAUGAAAAAUAAAAUAAUGUGGGCAAUUUUUGAAACCGUAUAUAUUUAGGACUUGAAAGUCCGUCCUUUUAGUCGUUCAAAUCUACAUUUUUGGUUGCACAUAGAACUUUUAACAUAGAAUUAGUAAAAUACAGAUGCAAACGACUAAACAAUGUGAGAGACUUUUGGAAAUGUAUGUAAUGUAACUUAGGAAUGUUCCCUUUGGAUUGCAAAUAUGCUUUUGAUGUAAAGUAAAUAGAAUGUAAUGUAACUUAAAAAACUACUUUACCCUAUUUGUUUAGUUGUUCUAUUAAUUUAUAAAAUGUUUUGCAAUGAAUGUAUUGCUUUGUGUAUGGUAAUAUACGUGUUUGUCAACGCAGAUAAGCUGUUUCUAGCUUCUGAACAUCAAUUAUUAUUAGGUGCCGUUAUUCAACUUUGUCUCUUUUUUGAGAUAUGAUUCAUAUUUGCUGUAAAAUGUAAAUUAAUUCUGACCAGCAAUUUUACAUUUGAACACUAAUUAUAACCAAUACACAAAGUUUAAUUACCAAGAACUACAAAUAUAAAAAAAAUAAGAUCAGAUGAUAAUUUAAAUGCUGAAUAUAAUAAACUCAUUGACUCCAUAAGUGAUUUAUUCAACAUUAUAGAUGAAUAAUAAAUAUCAUGUAGAUUCAGUUGCUUUCAUUUAUUUUUGAAUAAUUUAAAAAUGAGUGUUAAAUUUUGGUUACGGUUUCAAACCCGCAGUGGAACGCAGGCUUCUUUGCUAGUGUUUUCUACAUAACAUGAUAUUAUUAGAGCCGAACACUGCGUGCCGUAUAUUGUUCCAUAGAGUCCUUGUGAGGAGGUCAUUACUCAUUCUGAACAAAACAAAAAUAAUAAUAAAAAAUAAGGUCAUCAAACAUAGGAAGGUUUUUUGACUUUGGACUUUUGGAUCUUGCAUGAUCCAUCUACUUCGACCAAACCAGAAUUAUGCUGUUUGAAAGAUUACGCGGCCAAUGACAAAAUUAUCAAUGGGAGUCCAGCGACUGAGAUAUUCCAGACUUUUCCAAGAACUCCGAACUCACAGAACUGACAUAUUAUGUUGGUGACUGGUGAGUUUUCUGUUAAGUUGGUUGUUUUAUUUCCAUGUUCUGAAUCUGGAGUGAGAUCUUUCUGUAAAGUUAGUUAUUUCAGUUAAUUGGAAGCAAUCCUUAGCUUUGAUGAAGGUUAUUUUCAUUUCACUGCACUUUAAUGUCUGAAUUUGUUUGUUUGUAUGUUUGUUUAUAACUUUAUAUCAGCGGAGUAGUACACUCCGUUUGAAAGCUUGAUCCUUCAUUGUGCAUUCAAAUCUAAUUUGAAUAAUAUAAUCAAAGAAAAUUAAAGGUGAAUUUGGGUUUAUCGGUUUCAUUUUUCUUUUUCUUGGUAGUUAUUUAAAAUUUAGUUAUUGAAAUCAAUCAAGUUACUCUGUCAAAAUUUUUUGAUUUGAUCUUUCCAUGGAGUUUGGAAAAGGAUUAUUUCGAUAACUUGAUGAAUCUAUAUUUGGGUAUUUAUAGAACUUUUAUGAAGAUGAGAAAUGAAGUUUACUGGCACUUGAUGAUUCCAAUCUUUGGUAAAUAAUUUUGUAAGCUAAUUGAUUGAAGAUUGAAACUUAGAAGCUCAAAAAAAUGUUGUUGAAUUGAGGUACAUCUGUAACAAAUUGGCUGAAGUGUCUAGCUGCUUAUGCCUAUGCAGGUCAUCUAGUUUGCUGAAGCAUCCUCAUGGGAUCGAAUGAGAGGGGAUCCUUACUUUCAGGACUAACAGAUCCUUUGUCUCAAACAAAUAAAAACAAUGCUCCAAAGGGCAGGAGAAUUCGUCGUUGUAGAAGUGCUCCUGUUUCAGAUUAUGUAGCCUUAGAGACAGGCUUACCCUCAGGUCCACAAACCGAUCAGUCCUUUUUCGGAAAUAUACACCCGAGUUUUCGCAUUGUAGCUGCAUUCUUGACUGUCUACCUAGGCUUAGGAACUGUAUGUUUCUACCUAGUCAGGAACCAGCUCAAGGGAGAGAAGACAAAUGGAGUUCUUGAUGCUGUUUAUUUCUGUAUUGUGACAAUGACCACUGUCGGAUAUGGUGACCUUGUGCCAAACAGCGUUCUUUCAAAACUAGUGGCUUGUGCUUUCGUCUUCUCAGGAAUGGCUCUCGUCGUAAUGAUCUUGGGCAAAGCAGCUGACUAUUUGGUAGAGAAGCAGGAAUUAUUGCUCGUUAAAGCCCUACAUACGAGUAAAAAAGUUGGGCAUAUUGAAAUUCUUAAAGAUAUCGAGACAAACAGUCCGAGGUACAAAUGUAUUGUGGUCUUUAUCCUUCUUUUGCUACUCAUAAUUGGUGGCACAAUCUUCCUAGCUACUGUUGAGAAAUUGAGCCUUGUGGAUUCAUUCUAUUGCGUUUGUUGUACCAUCACAACCCUGGGUUAUGGAGAUAAGAGCUUUUCGUCUCAAGCAGGGCGUGCUUUUGCAGUAUUCUGGAUAUUGACAGGUACCAUUUGUUUAGCUCAGUUUUUCCUCUACGUUGCCGAGCUAAACGCCCAAAGCAGACAACGGGCGUUAGUAAAGUUGGUUCUCACUCGUAGGGUGACCAAUGUAGAUUUAGAGGCAGCUGAUCUGGAUGACGAUGGCGUUGUUGGGUAUGUUAAACUUUUCUUCACAAUUGCUUCUGUAGUAUGAGCUUAUUAUUUCUGAAUUCUUAUCUGCUGAUGGUUAACUAACAAAUUUCUCCACUCUUCCUCCUUUCUUUACAUAGGGCUGCUGAAUUUGUCAUAUACAAGCUCAAAGAGAUGGGGAAGAUUAGCCAGGAAGAUGUUAGACUUGUAAUGGAGGAGUUUGAAGAUCUUGAUGUUGAUCAGUCAGGAACGUUGUCAACAUCCGAUAUAAUACUUGCGCAACAACCUCAAAUCAAGAAGUAACUCUGGCACUAUGCUGGUGGCUUUGUAAGUUCGUGAUAUGUAUGAUUACUUAUUCUUGCUGUGGUAUGAAUUUCUUAACUAGGCCAUAUCACAAACACUCCCAUAUAUCUCUUCCUAUAAGGACUUGGUUAAAACGCUUGGAUUGCUUCUAUGUAUUUUACUCAAAUGGAGAUAUAGCGUACAAACAAAUUUUGGUCCUUCGCUAGAUUGACAAAUGCGACUGCUUAGUUCCUUCAAGAAUUUCGCCAGAUGUGGUUCAGUCUGUUUUGUAUUACGACAGAUUUGAAGGUUGUGCAUAUGCGACGAGGGUGCAGUGUGGUGAGGGCUAGUGAAAGCACACAAGGUUUGAUGUACUGAGGCAGUGUAUAAUGAUCAUAGUGGGAAUGUGUACAUUUGUGUGUUAGCAUGUAGACGUAUUUAUCUUCUGUUUUGCUUUAGUAAGACGCUUCUUUUGUGUACACUAUUUGGAGAGAGACUUAAUCAUACGCCAGUGUGGAAUCUCAAACAAAUAAACGUAUGAUAUCCCGUUAUUCGUUUAGAAUAUUACGGUGGUGGUGUACCGGGGGUGUAAGUCCGUCCUCCAUUUUUAGGGUUCUUUGAGUUGUGCCAGGUGGUAGCCUUUCUGUGAUCUGACCUUUCAAGUCAUUGAUUGAUCAUGGCCUAGAAAGAAAGCAAUCCAGGUUUGCAUUGUGAUUCUGUGGAUUAGAUCUGAGCCCAGCAAAAGCAAUGCUUCUAAUGUCAAAAACUGAAAUGAUUGUGGGGCCACCACCAUGUAAUCCCUACACCUUUUGAAUGAUCAUUCAAUUUGUUGAAGGAUGAUAUUAUCUACCCAUUUAUUUUUAUUCCUCACAUAUUUGUUAACUUUUGACCGUCGAAUCAAAUAAAUUAAAAAAAUUAAUAAGAGCAUAAAAAAUAAAAAUAAGGCAUAUGAAUAUCACUACUCUUUCUUGAAAUCUUGCAUUUCAGCCAGAUGGGGAGAUAAUUCAAGGGACGGAUCCAGAAUUAGAUACCAUCACAUCAUAGGCAUCUAAUGCCCACUUAAAAAUGUUUGACAUGUCCCUACAUUACACUUGAUAGAAUAUAGAGUUUCAUUAGGAAAAUGAUCUUUAGGCACUUUGUUUUUUUCCCUUACAAGCUUGUUUGUUAUUUUGACUCUGAAUAAAAUAAAGUGAAAAAAUUUAAAAAAAUUUAAAAAAAAUAAAAGUCUAUAGAAAGAGAAAAACGUGAGCACAUAUUUUUGUUUUCUGGUAUGAUUAACGUAUGUGAUUGAUUAGUAUGAAAGUUGUUCUGUCAACCAUUCCUUUUUCUCCUUUCGGUCGUCCUAAUUGCUUGGUGUGGAAUUUUCACGAACUAUUGAUGUGAAAGUUACCAAAGAUAUCCGCGUCGAUAAGCGAAACUUAUUUACAACUGAGUAAUGUGACAAUUGUUCACGUAAUGACUGUUGUAAGAAUAGUUCCUUGACAUUCCAGAACAUGAAUGUUUCACUUUACAUCAACGGUUGUUACACACCAGCCAUGUUUACAUUGGUGGGUCCAAACUUGAGCUAGUGUAUCCGAUUGUCCAAACCCCAAUAUUGUUACACAUGAAAUGUUUAAUCUUCAUUGGUUUUCUUCUCCAGCAUCGUUAUCACGGGAGCAAGAUGUCCGAUAAAAUACCUUAAAGAGGCCGAUGCACGACAAGGAACGAACUAAGAAAAAAUGGCAUGUGGCCUUAAAUAAUUUUGCAUUUACUCCUAAUUUUUUUUUUUAUAAAUUUGUCAUAACACGUAAACAACUGAUUCUAACAAAUGAUACUCAUACUCGAGAGUUUAGACUAGAGUGAAGUAGCACCAUAGAAAAGAGUGAAGUCGUUGUGCUUAAUACAACUUCCGAGUUUCAAAAACUCGAAAUCUUAUACAUGAAUGUAUUGUAACUUGGAAUUGAAACUCUAUGGUACUACAUUGUCACCACUCACUAAUAGAUUAAUGCAACAAAACCGUGUUGUCGGUGCUUAUGUGUUUGGACUAUUCAGGAAUCUAUGCAUAGUACACUUUAGGGCUUAUCUGUAACUGCAAAAUAAAAGUUCAAAUUAUGCUCACACCGGAUAAAAAAAUUAAAUUAAAUUAAAAAAACUAUAAAAAAUGAAAUGGCAUUAAGUUCACUAGAAGAAAACAAUCUUGCAUGGCAAAAGUGGAACACUAUAUAUAGUGACGUACUACGUCAAUAGUAUAUUAAUGUUUUUUUUUUUCAUUUCACGAUUCUUAUUUAUUGGCAAAAAAACGUAAAUAUAGUUGUGUACCCGUGACUAUUAAAAUAUUGGUGUUGGGAGGAAAUAUCGAUAUGCAAAUAUAGUUGUGUACUCGUGAUCAUUAAAAUAUCGGUAUCGGAAGAAAUAUUGGUAUGUAAAUUUGUGAAAAUAUUCACAGAUAUACCAAAUAUUGAUAUCGGUAUCAAUUGCUUUCGAUAAAAAUAAUGAAAUUUUGGACGAAAUAUAAAAUUUCUCUAAUAUUUAGCAAAUAUUUUAGAAAUUUAACAAUAUAUGUCGACAUAUAAAUUGUUUUUCCACUAAAGCCUUUUCACGUAGAUCACGGUCGUGGACUCGUGGGUGACUUUGGAGUAGCCCCGCACUCAUCAGAUCCAAUUCAAUCUUCACCAAUGCCACACUGCCACCAGACCAAACAUUCCAAGCCUCUUCUCAUUUUGAAUAACAAUGGCAGAUAAUGGGUAAAUUUAUUUAUUUUUAUUUUUAUUUUUAUUUUUAUUUUUGAAAAGAGAUGGUGACUUUACUCCAGCAGUCCACACCUUUGAGAAUCGAAAAAAAUCAUAGAGGCAUGUUAACCUCCCCUAACCAUGAUUGUGCAAUUCACCAGCAUCAUGAUUCGAAAAACGUGCCAUGUGAAAUACGAAACUAGAAUUCAUCUCCAAACAUUGAUCAUUGCUUUUUCCUCAUUCCGCACUUUUCAAUUUAUUUAUAUUAAGUGAUUAUUCUUUAAUUUAUUUAAUCAAAAGGCUAUAAAAUAAUAAGAAAUGUGCUUAAGAAAUAAAUAGAUCGUACCCAAUGCAUAAUACUCCCGUUUUACGCGGGAUCUGAAAGAGGUUAAGUGAUUAUUCUUUAAUUUAUUUCUUAAGAAAUGUGCUUAAGAAAUAAAUGAGUGUACAAAAAUUAUUUUCUCAGUGUUCUUAAACCAAUCGGCUUGGACAUUGUUGUACCUAAAUUCGAAUCAUUCUUACAACAAAUCAAACUAUUUUAGAAUAUCUUCUUGUCAACUAUACCCAAUAUUGAAAGAUUAAACCCUUUGAAAUUGCUUGAUCCGAUAUUAUCAACAUUAAACCCAAUUCCUAGUGAAAAAUCAUGAACUCAUAAGAUUAAUAGUUGGAUCUAAAAAAUAAAUCAAGCUAACAAUAUUAAAAGAAAACAAAAUUAAAAGGGACACAUACGUCAUUGAUGGCAUUAUUCUUCCCAGAAUUUUACAGUUGACAGUUUUGUCAUCCACAAACCAAGGGGAAGAGUUAGAAAUUACAGAGAUAACAAAAUACAAAAUACAAAAUACCAAAAAAAAUUACAGUUCUGGUUCUUUUUCCUCGACUACUUUACUGCUCUGCUGCUUCUCGGAUUUGUAACUUUCUACGAUAUGGUCCGGUUGCCCGGCUACAUAAUCCAGGAGCCCUUCACCGGGUUUGUCACCGGAAGCUUCGGAACCCGGCAACGUGGUCUUCCCGAAGACGACGACGGCGAAGAGGAAGAGCGCGGUGGAGAGAAAGAGGGGCCAGAAGUAGGCCAAAAGGGUCAGAAAUCUGGGAGCUAUUAGGGUUAGGGAGUAGAGGGCAAGGCAGAAAAGGAGGGCAAAGAGGAAGUGGAACUUGAACUUGACAAGCUUUUCUGGAAUCUCCAUGAGUUGAGUUUUGAGAGGGGAUUGAAGUUUUGAGUUCGAUUUUGUAGAGAGAGAGAGAGAGAGAGAUUGUGGGGAGGUAAUCGCGCUCACUGAUUGCAGAGAUUCUCUGAAGGAGAAAGGCUGUGUCUCCUGAGCUUUGUUUUGGAGUGAGUAAAAUGGUUUAUUUUUCUA
rnacentral:lncRNA from 1 species